rnacentral:rRNA from 1 species
UAGGGAAUCUUCCACAAUGGGCGCAAGCCUGAUGGAGCAACACCGCGUGAGUGAAGAAGGGUUUCGGCUCGUAAAGCUCUGUUGUUAAAGAAGAACACGUAUGAGAGUAACUGUUCAUACGUUGACGGUAUUUAACCAGAAAGUCACGGCUAACUACGUGCCAGCAGCCGCGGUAAUACGUAGGUGGCAAGCGUUAUCCGGAUUUAUUGGGCGUAAAGAGAGUGCAGGCGGUUUUCUAAGUCUGAUGUGAAAGCCUUCGGCUUAACCGGAGAAGUGCAUCGGAAACUGGAUAACUUGAGUGCAGAAGAGGGUAGUGGAACUCCAUGUGUAGCGGUGGAAUGCGUAGAUAUAUGGAAGAACACCAGUGGCGAAGGCGGCUACCUGGUCUGCAACUGACGCUGAGACUCGAAAGCAUGGGUAGCGAACAGGAUUAGAUACCCUGGUAGUCCAUGCCGUNNCGAUGAGUGCUAGGUGUUGGAGGGUUUCCGCCCUUCAGUGCCGGAGCUAACGCANUAAGCACUCCGCCUGGGGAGUACGACCGCAAGGUU